rnacentral:lncRNA from 1 species
GCAAGAGGCACUCUGGUUUCAGCUCAGGGAUACACACAGUGGACUUUUGGCCUCCAGCACUAUGAACUGAGCUCAGUCCAUGGGGUUUACACAGCAAGCAUUUUACCAACGGAUCCAUGUGGCUUGUGCCAAGUCCCCAUCAACACUGCUGAGUUGCUGUAAUACUCAAACCAGUUCAGAGCCUCAUUUCUUUUGCUUCAUUAUCCUGGAAAAUGCCUGUCAUGUGAGGCCCUGAAGCAUCUGCGAGGAAAACCUCAGAAAGAGAUUGCCUUUCCUUUCCUGUCUUCUGAUAUGUGAGCUAAGUCAGCAACACCAGUGACAACAGCCUGACCUUGGACCUUUAGAACAGUGAGUAGUUGACGUCUGUGCUUUAUAAACCACACACACAUAGUAGAACAAAUAGACUAAAACAAUAUUGUGUUUCAUAUAUCCAGUAAUGCCUCUUUAGAUGUUUUAUCCACAAGAUCCCUGGCAUGUUGGCUUUAACUCAGAUGCCACCAUUCCUCUAUAUCUUUUCUUUUACUUACACACACACACACACACACACACACACACACACA